CACUAAGUUUAGUGCAAAUGUUAUAUACCUAAAAACAAUUUGUGUACGAGUACACAGGUCUAGUAAAUCCAAACAAGUUUAUGCAUUCAGUAUUUUUAAAUAAUUUUUAUAUUAAUUUUUUGUUUGUUUGCUUCAUCAAUGCAAUUGGUGCCAAUUAAGUUUAUGUUUGUUUUGAGUGUAGAAAAAUGAUUAGAAGGUAAAUAUGUACUGUAAAAUCAUAAGUAUUUAAUGGGGAUUAUAAAGUUUUGUGAUUUCACUGUAUAUCUGUAUCAAUUACGGUAAAGAACCCUUAUCCUUGAUAAAGUGUCAUCAUGCUUGAACAGUUAAACUAUGUGAUAAU
rnacentral:sRNA from 1 species